AUGUCUUCCGAAUCAAUAACUCUUCCAUUUCUCUUCUCCCUCAUCCUCUUAUUCCUUAGCCAUGUCUCCGCUGCCCAAACCACCGUCGUUAACGCCGCUUACUGGUUCCCGGACAGCGGCCAAGCAGCCUCCGCCAUAAACUCCACCCUCUUCACCCACCUCUUCUGUGGUUUUGCAGAUCUCAACCCCAACACUUACCAAGUCGCCAUUUCCGCAAACUCGCCUGAUCAGUUCUCAACUUUCACUCAAACAGUCCAACAGAACAACCCUAACGUCAAAACCCUCCUCUCCAUCGGCUGAGAAAACUCCAGCUCCUCCACCUUCGCCGCCAUGGCCAGCCAGGCCACUCGUCGCAAAGCAUUUAUAGACUCAUCCAUCAAAUUAGCGAGAAACUACUCCUUCUACGGCCUUGAACUAGAUUGGGAAUACCCUAACUCCACCACCGAGAUGACCAACUUCGGCAGCCUCCUCACGGAAUGGCGCUCCGCGGUGGCCAACGAGUCAAGCACCUCCGGCAAGACGGCGUUGCUGUUGACCGCUGCAGUCUUCCGCAAUGCGGAUUACUACAGCAUAAAGUAUCCGUUCCAGGCUGUUUCUAGCAGCCUGGACUGGAUCAACGUCAUGACGCGCGAUUACUACGGUUCUAGUUGGGCCGAAGGUAUAAAAAACACUUACCCGCCAGCUGCAUUAUACUCCGAUGGAUCUACCAGUCUCUUCAACGGAGACGGAUCUACCAGUCUCUUCAACGGAGACGCCGGAAUUGUGUCGUGGAUCAACACCGCCGGAAUCUCAACCAAGAAGAUAGUCAUUAGUCUUCCGUUUUACGGGUACGUUUGGAGAUUGUUAAACCCUAAUAAUCAUGGAUUUUUCGCUCCGGCUAAUGGCUCGGCUAUCAUAGCUGACGGAAAGGGUUACAACCAGAUAAGGGUUUUGAUCAGCCAAGGGUUUCAGACGGUGUACAAUGCGACGGUGGUUAGUAACUACUGUUACAAUGGGACGACUUGGAUUGGUUACGAUGAUACGCAGAGUAUUGGCGCCAAGGUUUCGUAUGCUAAAGGAAAGUCUCUUCUUGGUUACAUUGCUUUGCAUACUGGUGCUGACACAACUACCUGGACUCUCUCUCAAACAGCUUUCAGUACAUGGGUUGCAGGGAUUGUAGGCAACAUCAAAAGAUCAGUUUAUAGGCUAUUAGAUAUAGUUCCAAGUACAGACAGUUUUGACAGCAAUGCUCCUAAUCUGCAAGUUUUUAGUUAUGCAACCAUCAAAGCAGCUACAAAAAACUUUUUGAGUAAGAAUAAGAUUGGAGAGGGUGGCUUUGGACCUGUAUAUAAGGGUACGUUAAGGAAGGGCCAGCAAAUAGCUGUGAAAAGACUUUCGAAAACUUCACACCAAGGCCUUGAAGAGUUCGAAAAUGAGGUCACACUUACUGCAACACUGCACCAUGUGAAUCUAGUUAGAGUUCUGGGAUACUGCACCAAGAGGGAAGAAAAGAUGCUGAUAUAUGAGUACAUGCCAAACAAAAGCUUGGAUCUCUACCUAUUUGAUCCAAGUAGACGCGAUCUUUUGCAUUGGGAGAAACGUGUCCACAUCAUUGAAGGGGUAAUUCAAGGGCUUCUAUAUCUCCAAGAAUACUCAAACUCUACAAUAAUUCACCGUGAUCUGAAAUCUAGCAACAUUUUGUUAGAUGAUAAGAUGAACCCGAAAAUAUCAGAUUUUGGUCUAGCCAGAGCUUUCAGAAAGAAUGAACUUGAGGCAAACACUGGUCGCAUUGUAGGAACACAUGGCUAUGUUCCCCCUGAAUAUGUAAGAAGAGGCAUUUAUUCCAUGAAAUCUGAUGUUUACAGCUUCGGUGUUCUGCUUCUGCAUAUCAUAAGUGGCAAGAGAAGUUCAUGCUUUUAUGGCAUAGAUGGAAAUCUAAACCUUCUAGAUCACGCAUACGAGUUGUGGAAAAAAGGCCAUGCCAUGGAUUUUGUAGAUUCUACCCUAGAUGAUUCGACAUCGUCUUGCAAGCUCUUAAGUGCAUGGGGGUAGCCUUGUUAUGUGUCCAAGAAAAUCCAGUAGAUAGACCAUCCAUGCUGGAGGUUUCUUCAAUGCUCAAGAGCGAAAGUGCAGCCAUCAUUAGUCCUAAAAAGCCUGCUUUCUCAGUUCAAAAGGAUGAAGAUGAGGAUCAUAUAUACACAUUCAGGGAAGAAAUCUAUUCAGUGAAUGAUGCAACAAUGUCCGAAAUUGUGCCCCGAUGA